AGAAUCAACGCUGGCGGCGUGCCUAACACAUGCAAGUCGAACGAGAAAGUGGAGCAAUCCAUUAGUAAAGUGGCGCACGGGUGAGUAACACGUGACUAACCUACCUUUUAGUGGGGGAUAACCUAGGGAAACCUGGGCUAAUACCGCAUAAUACCUACGGGUCAAAGCAGCAAUGCGCUGAAAGAGGGGGUCGCGGUCGAUUAGUUAGUUGGCAGGGUAAUGGCCUACCAAGACUGUGAUCGAUAUCCGGCCUGAGAGGGCGCACGGACACACUGGAACUGAAACACGGUCCAGACUCCUACGGGAGGCAGCAGUGGGAAUUUUGCGCAAUGGGGGAAACCCUGACGCAGCAACGCCGCGUGGAGGAUGAAGUCCCUUGGGACGUAAACUCCUUUCGAUCGGGACGAUAAUGACGGUACCGGAAGAAGAAGCCCCGGCUAACUUCGCGCCAGCAGCCGC
rnacentral:rRNA from 1 species